rnacentral:tRNA from 1 species
GCCUUCAUGGUGUAGUGGUCAACACACUGGGCUCGUAUUCCAGUGGUCCGUUUCCCGGGGAAGGCG